CCUACAACAGAUACUAUGUAUAUGUAUACCUACAACAGAUACUAUGUAUAUGUACACCUACAACAGAUACUAUGUAGAUGUACACCUACAACAGAUACUAUGUAGAUGUACACCUACAACAGAUACUAUGUAGAUGUACACCUAGGCCUACAACGACUACGUUAUUGAAUUAUGAAAAAAUUGAACUAAUAACAAUUUAUUCAGUUCAAAAUUCUGAAGUAUAUCGAUAAUGUCAAGAUUUAAAUGAAAAAAAAUAGGUAAUGAUAAAAAUACAUUUACAGUUUUUGACUGUUUAUGAAAUUUCCUCUAGGCAAGGGUAAAGUGCAAUUACAUUGUAUUAUCAUAUUAAUAUGCUUAUGACAUAAACAGCCUGAUUUAUUUUUUUUUAUUUUUGUUGAUUUGUUGAUAUUUUAUUCUGUCCAAAUAUUCAAUGGCAACAGACCCUACCCUAAAACCUGGAAAAUAAACCAUGACAGAAAGCAUUAAAGUUUUAUUGAAAAAUCCAUCCGCUGUUUUUGUGGCCUCUUGUUUAUUAUCACCUCUGAUACAAGUCAUUGAGGGCCUGUACAUAGGUAGGUAUGGUCCAUCAAUGUCAUCACUUUUCUGACUUCAUUUCUGUUAUCCACAUGUCAUGUUCAAAUCAAUUUAUUACACCUCGACUUAGUAAAGAGGGGAUAUAACUAUAUAGUAAUCAAGUUAUUAUACUCCUGACUUAGUAAAGAGGGGGUAUAGCUAUGUAGUAAUCAAUUUAUUAUACCCUCGACUUAGUAAAGAUGGGUAUAGCUAUAUAGUAAUCAAUUUAUUAUACCCUCGACUUAGUAAAGAUGGGGUAUAGCUAUGUAGUAAUCAAUUUAUUAUACCCCCAACUUAGUAAAGAGGGGGUAUAGCUAUGUAGUAGAAACAUCUGUCUCAAGGUAUCUGUCUGUAAGCAAGUUUGCUUGAUCCACAUUUUAGUUGGUUGAGAUGGUGUCAAGGUAAUUAGCUAUAACAAAACCCUGGAAAGGUGUUGUCGACGUCCUCGGCAACAUCAAUAAGACAGCUAGAUUAAUGUUUUGAUUAUGUCAAAAAAAGUAAUGAGGAUAUAUCAUAGGUAUUUGACAUGUGUGUUUCUUGUGACAAGACAUUUCCAUUAGGACUGCAUUUGUACACGUGAGACAAAGUGCUGUUAUAGGUAUUAGUGUGGGAGUGAGACAAAGUGCUGUUAUAGGUAUUAGUAGUGAGUGAGUGAGACAAAGUGCUGUUAUAGGUAUUAGUUGUGUGUGAGUGAGACAAAGUGCUGUUAUAGGUAUUAGUAGUGUGGGAGUGAGACAAAGUGCUGUUAUAGGUAUUAGUAGUGAGUGAGUGAGACAAAGUGCUGUUAUAGGUAUUAGUUGUGUGUGAGUGAGACAAAGUGCUGUUAUAGGUAUUAGUAGUGUGUGAGUGAGACAAAGUGCUGUUAUAGGUAUUAGUAGUGUGGGAGUGAGACAAAGUGCUGUUAUAGGUAUUAGUAGUGUGUGAGUGAGACAAAGUGCUGUUAUAGGUAUUAGUAGUGUGGGAGUGAGACAAAGUGCUGUUAUAGGUACAUGUAUUAGUAGUGUGUGAGUGAGACAAAGUGCUGUUAUAGGUAUUAGUAGUGUGGGAGUGAGACAAAGUGCUGUUAUAGGUAUUAGUUGUGUGUGAGUGAGACAAAGUGCUGUUAUAGGUAUUAGUUGUGUGUGUGUGAGACAAAGUGCUGUUAUAGGUACAUGUAUUAGUAGUGUGUGAGUGAGACAAAGUGCUGUUAUAGGUACAUGUAUUAGUAGUGUGGGAGUGAGACAAAGUGCUGUUAUAGGUAUUAGUUGUGUGUGAGUGAGACAAAGUGCUGUUAUAGGUAUUAGUUGUGUGUGAGUGAGACAAAGUACUGUUAUAGGUACAUGUAUUAGUAGUGUGUGAGUGAGACAAAGUGCUGUUAUAGGUAUUAGUAGUGUGUGAGUGAGACAAAGUGCUGUUAUAGGUAUUAGUAGUGUGUGAGUGAGACAAAGUACUGUUAUAGGUACAUGUAUUAGUAGUGUGUGAGUGAGACAAAGUGCUGUUAUAGGUAUUAGUAGUGUGUGAGUGAGACAAAGUGCUGUUAUAGGUAUUAGUAGUGUGUGAGUGAGACAAAGUACUGUUAUAGGUACAUGUAUUAGUAGUGUGUGAGUGAGACAAAGUGCUGUUAUAGGUAUUAGUAGUGUGUGAGUGAGACGAAGUGCUGUUAUAGGUAUUAGUAGUGUGUGAGUGAGACAAAGUGCUGUUAUAGGUAUUAGUUGUGUGUGAGUGAGACAAAGUGCUGUUAUAGGUAUUAGUAGUGUGUGAGUGAGACAAAGUGCUGUUAUAGGUAUUAGUUGUGUGUGAGUGAGACAAAGUACUGUUAUAGGUAUUAGUAGUGUGUGAGUGAGACGAAGUGCUAUUAUUAUUAGUAAUGUGUGAGUGAGAAAAAUCCAAACUAAUUAGUGAACCAGCUUGUCUUCUUCAUCUACAAGCAAGCUUUUACCUUUCGUGUUACAUAGUCAUUAUUAUUAUAUCUACUAGACCAAUAAAUAUAAUUGCCCUUUUUAACUUUCAAAUUUAUUUAUUGCUUUAAAAUUGAGUAAACAUGUUGUUAUUCGUGUUGCGUACAAAUCUCCUAUUUUAGGCCAAAAUCCUUUAAAAUAAUCAUCAAUCUCCCUUAAUGGUCUCAAAAGGUAUGACAUGUAUGGUCAGUAUGAUAAAGUAUUACAAUUACUGUGUCUAAGCAUAAUAUUAAAAGAAUACUGUGGCUGUAGCAGCUUUUUGUUUAUUUUCAUCAGUUUUCAUUUGUUUGGUUUUUUAUCAGCUUGCUUUAUUUAUAUAUUGUAUACCUGUAAUGUUUAUUUCUGGUGGUUAAACCUGCCUUAAAGGCCACUUAUUUAUACCAAACCUUUCUAUAAAGGCCACAAGUUUUGGUUCACAAUGUGACAUUUUUCUCUGAUCUCUUGAGUGGCCUUUAUACACAGGUUUGGCUAUACCUACAGAGUAUUUGUAAUGUUAUAAUGUUAGGUACAGAAUAUACCACAUUCCUACAUGAGUAACAUAUAUUACAAAUGCUCUGGUAGUUGUUAUUUACAUUGUGAUACAUGUGUUUUAUAAUCUGAGUACAACUCGAGCUGUUAUGACCUGAAUUUUUACAAUUAAAUUUUCUCUAUACAUUAUUUAUCGGAUAUUCUGAUCAAGGUUGUUUUAAGAAAAUAAGGGUCUUGAAACAAAUUUUUAGUAACCUGAAUAUUUUGUUGCUGAUCAAUGUAUCAGUUUAAGUGGUGAUGAUGUACCACAAUAUGCCACAAAAGUAUAGUAGUCUCUUGAUGGGGCAAAUUGAUAAUUACUCAUGACCACAUUUUUUAGACUGCAUGUGUGUACCAUAUUUCUUUUGUUGUUCAAGAAAAUUAUUAAGUCAUAAAUCCUUCUUCCAAUGUCUUCUUUGUGUAGUGAAAACAGUUAUUUAUUAAAAACCAUGAACAUACAA